CUGCUGCCUUCCGUAGGAGUUUGGACCGUGUCUCAGUUCCAAUGUGGGGGACCUUCCUCUCAGAACCCCUAUCCAUCGAUGCCUUGGUGGGCCGUUACCCCGCCAACAAGCUAAUGGAACGCAUCCCCAUCGAUGACCGAAAUUCUUUAAUAGUUCUACCAUGCGGAAGAACUAUGCCAUCGGGUAUUAAUCUUUCUUUCGAAAGGCUAUCCCCGAGUCAUCGGCAGGUUGGAUACGUGUUACUCACCCGUGCGCCGGUCGCCA
rnacentral:rRNA from 1 species